rnacentral:lncRNA from 1 species
AACGAACUUCUAUAAUGGACGGGCUCCAGCAGUCAGAUUUCUACAGUGACCGACUGUCUCUGGUGUCUUCUGUACCUCUCUAGCCAUCAACCUUCAACAGUGCCAAUCAGACUUCAACAGUACCAACCAGAUCCCUCCAACGGAUAAAUUCUCUCCGGACCCUUCCAGCAGUCGACCUUCCACAGUGUCCUCCAGACUCUUCCAGC